rfam:Halorubrum sp. J07HR59 genomic scaffold scf7180000001382, whole genome shotgun sequence.
GGUGGGAUGGCAGAGCGGCCUAUUGCGCUCGCCUUGAAAGCGAGUGUCCGUCAGGACUCAUGGGUUCGAAUCCCAUUCCCACCG